rnacentral:lncRNA from 1 species
GUCCUGUCAAAGGUAAGACCUGAUUAUGCUUUAUUAGUAUAAUACUAGUAAAAUGUUUGUUUUAUUUGUUUUAUUUGAUCUUCUAAGCAAUUGAACACAAAAAUGUAUUUUGUGCUUUAAGCGUAGGUUACAAAAUGACUAAAACUACAAAACAGGAACUUUUCUGGAUCAUCUUUUGGUUUGUGUCUGGCUUGUGUCAGUCAGGCAUGUGCUGUUAUAACUGCACAGACAAACACCACCUGUCCAUUGCUGUUUGGAAAUUUGUGUGUGUUCUAUGGCAAUAAGAAUUACUCUGGAAAAUGUGAUCUUGUGAACUUUACGGUAGAAUGGAAUGGCAGUGGAUUAAACAUAACUUUACCUCAGACAACUGUACAAAACCUAUCCCUGUGGAUAAUAUCAAAUACAACCUUAAUGCCUACAAAUUGUACAAAUUUCACAGAUAUAAAUACAGGAUCUGUAAUUAAGCCAUAUGACAUACUGAAUAAAUGCCACAAAACUUCCAAAUAUGAUAAAAAGAAAUGUAUAGACAAACCUCAAGAUGUAUAUGUCAUUACUGGUUUUCCGUCCAUGUGGCCCAUGACAUGCGUGACCUGUACUCCACCAAAAAAAAUUGCUGUCAAUCCUAAAGAAUUUCAGAGUCCAGAUGGCAGUCUAAAUGUUUCUAAAGCUAAUGACUUCAUAAAUGACCUUGAUGAUAUGUUGGGGAUUGCAACCAGUGCCUCUAUAUCAGCUAAUGGGAUCAGUGGCUUCAUUCAGAAGUUAUUGAGCCCACAAAUGCUUACCAUUGGGUACUCUGAAGUCUCUAAUGAGAUGGAAGUAAGUCCUGAUGCAGAAGAACAAUUGGGUUUCUGGGUGACCAUGCCAGAGGAAGCUGUCUUUCAAUCCCAGUCUAAAAACAAUGGUACUGGAAUAGUUGCUGUUGUAAGGUUCAACAAUAUGCCUCUGGAUGAAAAAAAUAGCAGUCUUCUAAAAGGUGCAGUGUAUGCUAUUACAGUGUAUGCUCCUGUGAACAAUUUGUUGAAUGAAAUACAGCUUAACUUCAACAACGAAAUGAGAAAUAAUACCAGCAUUUAUUGUGUCUCGUGGCAGGGGGAUGGUAAUAAUCAGUCUGAAACGUGCUCAUAG